GAGGUUAAGCGACUAAGCGUACACGGUGGAUGCCCUGGCAGUCAGAGGCGAUGAAGGACGUGCUAAUCUGCGAUAAGCGCCGGUAAGGUGAUAUGAACCGUUAUAACCGGCGAUUUCCGAAUGGGGAAACCCAGUGUGACUCGUCACACUAUCAUUAACUGAAUCCAUAGGUUAAUGAGGCGAACCGGGGGAACUGAAACAUCUAAGUACCCCGAGGAAAAGAAAUCAACCGAGAUUCCCCCAGUAGCGGCGAGCGAACGGGGAGGAGCCCAGAGCCUGAAUCAGCAUGUGUGUUAGUGGAAGCGUCUGGAAAGGCGCGCGAUACAGGGUGACAGCCCCGUACACAAAAGCGCAUGUGCUGUGAGCUCGAUGAGUAGGGCGGGACACGUGGUAUCCUGUCUGAAUAUGGGGGGACCAUCCUCCAAGGCUAAAUACUCCUGACUGACCGAUAGUGAACCAGUACCGUGAGGGAAAGGCGAAAAGAACCCCGGCGAGGGGAGUGAAAAAGAACCUGAAACCGUGUACGUACAAGCAGUGGGAGCACCCUUUGGGGUGUGACUGCGUACCUUUUGUAUAAUGGGUCAGCGACUUAUAUUCUGUAGCAAGGUUAACCGAAUAGGGGAGCCGGAGGGAAACCGAGUCUUAACCGGGCGUUAAGUUGCAGGGUAUAGACCCGAAACCCGGUGAUCUAGCCAUGGGCAGGUUGAAGGUUGGGUAACACUAACUGGAGGACCGAACCGACUAAUGUUGAAAAAUUAGCGGAUGACCUGUGGCUGGGGGUGAAAGGCCAAUCAAACCGGGAGAUAGCUGGUUCUCCCCGAAAGCUAUUUAGGUAGCGCCUCGUGAAUUCAUCUCCGGGGGUAGAGCACUGUUUCGGCUAGGGGGCCAUCCCGGCUUACCAACCCGAUGCAAACUGCGAAUACCGGAGAAUGUUAUCACGGGAGACACACGGCGGGUGCUAACGUCCGUCGUGAAGAGGGAAACAACCCAGACCGCCAGCUAAGGUCCCAAAGUCAUGGUUAAGUGGGAAACGAUGUGGGAAGGCCCAGACAGCCAGGAUGUUGGCUUAGAAGCAGCCAUCAUUUAAAGAAAGCGUAAUAGCUCACUGGUCGAGUCGGCCUGCGCGGAAGAUGUAACGGGGCUAAACCAUGCACCGAAGCUGCGGCAGCGACGCUGAUGCGUUGUUGGGUAGGGGAGCGUUCUGUAAGCCUG
rnacentral:rRNA from 1 species